AAGUCGUAACAAGGUUUCCGUAGGUGAACCUGCGGAAGGAUCAUUAACACGUAUCCAACGUUAAACCCCCCGUGCACACAGCGACCUGCUCCCCUCAAUUUCGGUCUUUUGGCAAUCCCUGGUAAAUCAUUGUUGACCAGCUUUUGAGUCAGGGACCUCUGCCGAAACGGCUGUUCAGUACCGAGCGCGGUGUAAGCGACCUGGCAUCCCCAAGCGAUCAGUGUCUGAAAGUGUCAUUGAUUGUGUAAGGAUGGCGCAGUAAACGAUUGCUAGAGGCCCACACGGCCGGCAACCGGGUCCCAGGGCUCACGCCCCUUUAUCACCCCACAGUUUCCGACUGGGCAGCCGAUAAUACGGACGCCGUAAAAAACUGAACAACUGUUAACAAUGGAUAUCUUGGUUCUC
rnacentral:misc_RNA from 1 species